UACGUAGGGGGCAAGCGUUGUCCGGAAUCAUUGGGCGUAAAGCGCGUGUAGGCGGCUCGAUAAGUCUGCUGUGAAAGUCCAGGGCUCAACCCUGGAAUGCCGGUGGAUACUGUCGGGCUCGAAUCCGGAAGAGGUGAGUGGAAUUCCUGGUGUAGCGGUGAAAUGCGCAGAUAUCAGGAGGAACACCAAUGGCGAAGGCAGCUCACUGGGACGGUAUUGACGCUGAGACGCGAAAGCGUGGGGAGCAAACAGG
rnacentral:rRNA from 1 species